UACUCUGAAAUCUAAACGUUUUAAAUCUGCUAUAUAAGUCCGAACAGAAAGCCACUGAGAUAUCAUUCAAUCGUUUAAAGUUAAACAAACAUGAAAGUAUUUCAAGUAGCAUUUAUCGUGGCUUGCAUUAUUGCUGCCGUUUCCUGCAAUCCUGGCCAUAACACUAUAAAGGGAAAUAGCAAUCAAGGAAAUAAGCAGAGCAAUUUUGACCUUAAAGGAAGUUUAUUCUAAUAAACGUUACAUGAUGCUGAGUAACAUUUUAUAAGAUUUCCAUUUACUUAUUGUUCUAUUCUGUUUUAAUCUAGCAGAAUUUUUUUUAGCAAAAAUUUAACUAAAUAUUGAAAAAUGGGUCUUAUUUCUCUAACUGGAUUGUUUUAAAAAAUAAUAUGAAAUAAAGUGCAAAAAUAUUCA